rnacentral:lncRNA from 12 species
GGGGGGGGGGGGGGGGGGGGGCGUGCGGGGGGGGAGGGGCACCCACGGGGCGGGCAGGGGGGGCCCGGUGGGGUCUGGGAGGGAAACUGGUCCCAGUGCGGUGGGAAACUGGUUCCAGUAGGGCAGGAACUGGUUCCCAGCUGAGGCUUCUAGUGGGGCAGGAACUGGUUCCCAGUAGGAGUUAUGGGACAGGAACUGGUUCCCAGUAGGGCUGUGGGCCAGGAACUGGUUCCAGUUGAGGUGGGGACUGUUCCCAGUAGGGAAAUGGGGUGGGAACUGGUUCCAGCAGGAAUUAUGGGACAGGAACUGGUCCCAGUGGGGCAGGAACUGGUUCCCAGUGGGAGUUAUGGGGUGGGAACUGGUCCCAGUGAGGCUUCCAGUGGGGCAGGAAUUGGUUCCCAGUGGAGUUACAGGACAGGAACUGGUCCCAGUUCAGGCAGGAACUGGUUCCCAGUGGGGUUGUGGGACAGGAACUGGUCCCCAGUUGAGUCAAUGGGAUCCCCCACGGCCUGGCUGGGGAGGGUCAGUGGCCAUGGGGGGGGGUCAGUGGCCGGGGGGGGGGGGGGGGGGGGGGGGGGGGGGGGGGGGGGGGGGGGGGGGGGGGGGGGGGGGGGGGGGGGGGGGGGGGGGGGG